AGGGAGGAAGCCAGGAGACUUUUCAUGGAGUUCCAUUCCUCCCCCAUGGGAGGUCAUACUGGCAUCCUUAAAACAUGGGCAGCAAUCUCUUCCAGGUUCUACUGGACCGGGAUGUCUGUAGACAUAAAAAAUUGGAUCUUAGAAUGUGACAGAUGCCAAAAGGUUGGAAAACCAUUGACUGCAGUGGGGGAGUUGCAGCCGAUAAAGGUCUCUGGCGUGUGGGAUUUGAUUGGGAUCGACCUUACUGGACCACUUCCCAAAACUGUCAAUGGCUUUCAAUACAUUUUGACAGCUACUGAUUUUUUUUCCAAGUGGGUGGAAGCUUUUCCACUCAAGUCCAAAUCAGCUGCAGAAGUUGCAAGAUUUAUUCACGUUUUCAUAAAGUUAAUAAAUAUAUUU